rnacentral:rRNA from 1 species
GAUGAACGCUGGCGGCGUGCCUAAUACAUGCAAGUCGAGCGAACGGACGAGAAGCUUGCUUCUCUGAUGUUAGCGGCGGACGGGUGAGUAACACGUGGAUAACCUACCUAUAAGACUGGGAUAACUUCGGGAAACCGGAGCUAAUACCGGAUGAUAUUUUGAACCGCAUGGUUCAAAAGUGAAAGACGGUCUUGCUGUCACUUAUAGAUGGAUCCGCGCUGCAUUAGCUAGUUGGUAAGGUAACGGCUUACCAAGGCAACGAUGCAUAGCCGACCUGAGAGGGUGAUCGGCCACACUGGAACUGAGACACGGUCCAGACUCCUACGGGAGGCAGCAGUAGGGAAUCUUCCGCAAUGGGCGAAAGCCUGACGGAGCAACGCCGCGUGAGUGAUGAAGGUCUUCGGAUCGUAAACUCUGUUAUUAGGGAAGAACAUAUGUGUAAGUAACUGUGCACAUCUUGACGGUACCUAAUCAGAAAGCCACGGCUAACUACGUG